CUUAUGAUUGCCCCAUAGAGCUGCUACCUGGAGCUGCUAUCCCAUUUGACCAUAUAUGCUCCCUUUCUGAGCCUGAAUUGAAAGCACUUCGUGAAUACAUACAAGAAAAUCUUGCCAAAGGCUUUAUUCGACCAUCCACUUCUCCAGCAGGAGCUCCUAUAUUCUUUGUAGAAAAGAAAGAUGGCAGUCUACGGCCAUGUGUCGAUUACAGGGACAUUAAUAAAAUCACUGUUAAAAAC